AGAGAAAAGAGAAAUGGAAGAAGAAGAAGAAGACGGCGAUGGGGCCAUGGGAGCAGCACUCGGCUGUCAUCAGCAUCCCUCGCUUCGACUCCAACGCUCCGUCUUCCCUCCUUCGCUUUCUUAGUUGUCAAUUUGAUGGUUUUCGUUCUGUUCUUUUUUCCUUUCUCCAGAGAGGGAGAAGAGCGCCACCAAAGAAGCCAUUGUCUUCCUGAAGUUGAACCUUAGCGUUACUGAAUGAGAUGCCACAUAAUGUCUUUGAGUAAGUGUGUGGUUCAUCUAUGCUUGGAGCUUGAAAGUGAAGAAUUGGGUCUCCUUUAAUCUUGUGGGACAUUUGCUGCUAGGGAGAGUAAUAACUUGGAGCUGGCUGAUGCGAGGUUAAACUGCUGAGAGAAGGAAAGUAUGUCCUAAGGAAUUAGAUCAGGACAGUGCCGAUGGUGCCGAGUGUGGGAAUUCAACCAAUCAGUAUUGGAAUGAGAAUGGUACUCUUCUUCUGUUCAAAACCGGAUUGCUACGUACUUAGAUUUCUGCAAAACGGUAGUCUAACUGCCUCCAACUUUACUAUUCAACUGAAAGCAGGUAAGCUUUCAGAAGAUGUAUCUUCCCAAGCAAAGGAAGACAUGCCCGUGCGAAUCAAUUUCCAGCUAUUUCAUUAGUUAAGUUGACAGGGAGUAGUUUGCUUCUCUUUACAUUCCCCCAUGAGGAUUCAGCCGACACCAUUCACAUUGUGUCUCACAUUACCGAUUCCCUGGUAUCUGGAAAUUCAAGCUCCCCACAGUUGAAUGAGCCAGACCUAAGGACUGUUGUUCAAACGCUUGUUCUCAAGUUUAUGAAGGAUAACCCAAGCAGACUUGCACAGCCGGUAAGGUUACUGUAUCAUAGGAAGAUCAAGUUCUUCAGGCGCUUCCGUCUCCUGCCUUUUCUUUUCGUGUGGCACUUUGGGGAUUGUAUUCCAUGUUCUGUUUCAAUUGUUGCUUCAUACCCUGUGGCACGAAGUCUAUUCCUCUCCCUUCAAUCGAAUCAGAGCUGUUAACAAUUUGUUUAUGCAUCCUUACAAAUUGGUCGAUCUUGUGAAUCUGUAUUUUCAAAAGCAAACUGACUCACAAUUGGCGAACCAGCUCCAAAUGCCGGAUUAGAGAAUUCAACAGUGCCUUCAAAGUUGUGGGCACACGUACAUAUAUACACGAUCUUCAGUGGAAAAGAAGAAUUCAAUGCGGUUUUUUGGAUGCUGCUGAGAAUUUAAAGAAGACAGAUGAAUUUGGACGUCCAAUGAGAUUCAUGGACGUUGCUUUUGUGGUCAGUCAAUUCUCAGCGGCCACGGGUGCAUCAAAAACUCCAGUAAAUGCCUUGAAAAAGAGUAAAGAGACAUCAAUUCGAAAGAAGAUAAUCACCUGCAGAGAAAGAGAGAGCUCGGCAAUGGCCACAGCAAAAAUGAAGGCCUGAGAAAUGGAGCCAAGACGCAAAUUGCGGGACUCUGAAGAGAGGAAGAGAGAGAAGAAGAAGAGAAUCACGAAGAACGAGGCCUUUCUUAUGGUGAGUCACCCAAAACAACAUUUUUUUUUUUUUAAUUUUUACGAGGUUUUUUACAACAUUUUCACGAAGAAUGAUGUCUUUGACAUCAUCUGUCUCGCGGUACAUCUUCUUCCACCUCCUUGUCCCCACCGCCGACCUCUUCCGCCUGAAGCUGCCUCUCCUCUCUGGCUCCGUCAGUGCGAGCACAGCAGCUAAAAAAGCCACUGAGCUGCCACCAAUGACGGCGAUGGUCGUGUCGUCCACGGACGCAAAGUCAGCCACCACAAUGGAGAGGGGCGGAAUCGCCAACUGGGUGAAUGUUGUCGACCUCGGCGUUGCCUUUGUGAUCUUGAUGGGGCUAGGAUUCAGUGCAGUCUUGGCGUUGUUCCCAUUGUGGAAGCAAAAUGGGGGAUGUUAGGGACACCGGGCAAACCGUGCAAGCCAUUCUAAUUAUCUACAGCUGCCGAUACUCCGGUAAGAAAGCCUAGAUUACAAAGCUGUCGAUUAGGCCCUGAAAUGGGUGUAAAUCAACAAGACGGAGAAAGCUUAAUUCUCUUCG